GAUUUCUGGCUUGGUGCGCCUGGCCCGCUACCGUUAGGUAUGUGAGUGCUGGGUCGCGCCUGCCAUCCUUCUAGAGAACGUCUCUACUCUUCAUUGAGCCGGGGGCGCAAUCUAGAUCUUUUACUUUGAAAAAAUUAGAGUGUUUAAAGCAGGCUUUUGCUAUGAAUACAUUAGCAUGGAAUAAUAAUUUAGGACUUCGGUUCUAUUUUGUUGGUUUCUAGGACUGAAGUAAUGAUUGAUAGGGAUAGUUGGGGGUGCUAGUAUUCAGCGGCCAGAGGUGAAAUUCUCGGAUUCGCUGAAGACUAACUUAUGCGAAAGCAUU
rnacentral:rRNA from 2 species